rnacentral:rRNA from 2 species
CAUUCACGGAGAGUUUGAUCCUGGCUCAGGACGAACGCUGGCGGCGUGCUUAACACAUGCAAGUCGAACGAUGAAGCCCUU